AUGCCGGAGGUCACUUCCACCAGAAGUGAAAGGCUAACAUCCAAAGGCAUUAUGUUUUUUUGCAACACCACAGCCAUCAAGGACUGGAGCUAUUUUCUCUCUCAAAUCUGGCCUCUUGUGAAUAAAUCAGCGGGAUUUGUUCAUCAGAGUAUGGAGCGGGUGGAAGCGGUGACGAGCACCAUGGUGACGGCUCUGGAGCCCGACCUGAGCGGCAUGAGCGCCAGUCACCCGCCGCUCAACUCCAAUCACACGUCCGGAAUGGAGCACGUCUUUCAGUACUCGUACUCCGAGAGUGACCUGCAGUACACAGACUACAGGACGCCGCCGAGGGACUCGAUACCGCUGCCCAAGGCGGUGCUGUACCUGGUUAUGGCCGCGCUGGUGGUGGUGGCCGUGGCGUACGCGAUCGUGGGGCACCUGGUGAAGGAUCUCGUGCAUGAGUUUGUGGGGCCCUUGAUGGAGCACACAACUGUUUGCAUCAGUUCUGACAUGCAACUCUGAAAUGCACCUCUGCUGACAUUCAACACUGUACAUUCACAUUCACCUCCACAAGCAUCCCGACCCGUUUUCUCUCAAAGCUCGUGUUGAGUAUCCGGAAGGGGAUGAAAAGAAUUACAUUUAAUUCCUUCAGGGUCCCUCACUUCUGUUUUUCAAAGACCUUGACGUUUACCUGAAGCGAUGAAGCAGGCAGGUCACACACACACACACACACACACACACACACACACACACACACACACACACACACACACACACACACACACACACAACCGAAGCAGAGAGGGGGCAUGAGCACUCAACAAUACCUGAGAGAUUUCUCCAAAAGCCCUGGUUACACCAAGUACUCUUCUAUAGAUGUAGCUCUGUGCUUUUGUGUGGGUCCUGAGAGGUGUAAAUGUGAAGAUCAUCGGUUUGGUGAGAUUCUCACUGUAGUUUUUCUCUCUACAGGGUCAGACAAGGAGAAAGCUCACUUUUGCUAUCUAGUAAAAUACAAUUGUGAUUUACAAGUCAGACGCUCUCUUUAGUUUCCGUUUUGUCUGAUAAGAAAAAUAAGGUUAGGGUUGACUUUUGUUGCAUUAUUUUUCUAAGUGACAGGAGUUGCAUUUUUUUCUUUGUGGGCGAUAAAAUGCCUGGUGGGGGGGGUGGUACUCAGAAAUCAUCUAUCAAUUACCUAGAACUCCCUAGAAACCUCUUAGCAACCGAUCAGAACACCUUAGAAUAGUAGCAGUGACUUUUGCCUUCGCAUUUGUCUGAAAGGAAAAACAUAAAAAUAAUCUAUUUUGUUUAAAUAGCAUUUUCCGUUGACCCCAGUGUGAUGAUGUGCAGAACACAUACUAGUUGGCUUAUGAGUUAGAAAUUACUGUGGUUUUUAUUUAGUUUUCUGUUAUUUAUUUUUUCUUUUUAUUGCAUGCACAUUUUAAAAACACAUCAUAUUAAGCAUUUCAAAGUUGUCUUUAUUUAGUAAACUAAAUUAAACAUUGACUAAAAAAGGACUACUUUC
ensembl:lncRNA